UAGAAUGUUUCUAACAUUACAAGUAAUGAGUGACAUCUAGAUUGGACAUAACAUUACAAGCAAUGCAUCAUUGCUACCCAAGUUACAAAAAGUCGUAAUUCGACAUAACAUUUCUGUGAUAAUAUUUUCAUGUAUUAUAUCAUUUUAUCCCUAAUAUCUAGAUUGGGCACACAUGGAAUAGUCACACUUGUAUAAUUCAAUCUCAUAUUUCUUGAUUUUCUGAGCAGACUACAAUAAACAAAUAAGUGUGAUAUCUCAUAUCAAC
rnacentral:lncRNA from 1 species